rnacentral:rRNA from 1 species
GACGAACGCUGGCGGCGUGCUUAACACAUGCCAGUCGAACGGAAAGGCCCUGCUUUUGUGGGGUGCUCGAGUGGCGAACGGGUGAGUAACACGUGAGUAACCUGCCCUUGACUUUGGGAUAACUUCAGGAAACUGGGGCUAAUACCGGAUAGGAGCUCCUGCUGCAUGGUGGGGGUUGGAAAGUUUCGGCGGUUGGGGAUGGACUCGCGGCUUAUCAGCUUGUUGGUGGGGUAGUGGCUUACCAAGGCUUUGACGGGUAGCCGGCCUGAGAGGGUGACCGGCCACAUUGGGACUGCGAUACGGCCCAGACUCCUACGGGAGGCAGCAGUGGGGAAUAUUGCACAAUGGGCGGGAGCCUGAUGCAGCAACGCCGCGUGCGGGAUGACGGCCUUCGGGUUGUAAACCGCUUUCGCCUGUGACGAAGCGUGAGUGACGGUAAUGGGUAAAGAAGCACCGGCUAACUACGUG